rnacentral:rRNA from 1 species
UACGUAGGGUCCGAGCGUUGUCCGGAAUUACUGGGCGUAAAGAGCUCGUAGGUGGUUUGUCGCGUUGUUCGUGAAAACUCACAGCUUAACUGUGGGCGUGCGGGCGAUACGGGCAGACUUGAGUACUGCAGGGGAGACUGGAAUUCCUGGUGUAGCGGUGGAAUGCGCAGAUAUCAGGAGGAACACCGGUGGCGAAGGCGGGUCUCUGGGCAGUAACUGACGCUGAGGCGCGAAAGCUAGGGGAGCAAACAGG